rnacentral:lncRNA from 7 species
ACAGUUUUCAACCUGUGGGUCGGCUGCAAUCAAGUCUAACAAACAAGUGGACAUCUCAGAAAGAUGGUGCUGAUUUCUGAUGUCCUGUCAAGAACGCAGGAAGGAAAGAAGGACAGAAGAUUUAGUUUACAUCUUUUGGAAGCAUCAUACACGGGAACAAAGUAAGAUUCAUAACUUGUCAAAGACCUGGUCACUGAUGAACACCACAUCUUGUUGGAUUCCUGUUUCAUAAAGCCAAUGGUUGCCCAUCUGGAAACAAUAGAGGUUCAUAGAGUGAAGAGAUCUUUGGAGACUGCCUGGAGGAGUCGAAUGAGUCACACACUGACAACAUAAUUUGUUACCACUAGCACUAUAUUUUACAAAAGUUUUCAUUUCAUUUGUUGUGAGUGGAAAAAUGACAUUAAUAGAGCCAGUAGAAAAGGU